ensembl:lncRNA
CCUGAAUAUACAUUGGAACAACUGAUGCUGAAGCUGAAGCUCCAAAACUUUGGCCACCUGAGGUGAACAGCUGACUGCCUGGAAAAGACCCUGAUGCUGGGAAAGAUUGAAGGCCAAAGGAGAAGAGGGCGGCAGAGGAUGAGGUGGUUGGAUGGCAUCACCGACUCGAUGGACAUGAACUUGGGCAGACUCUGAGAGGGACAGGGAGGCCACAUGCUGCAGUCCAUGGGGUCUCAAAGAGUCAGAUAUGACUUAGCAAUUGAACAACAACAGCAACAAUCUUGUAACACUCCUAGAUGCUCCGUGGUGGUGGUUUUGUCACUAAGUCACGUCCGACUCUUGCUUUCCCAUGGGCUGUAGCCCGCCAGGCUCAUCUGUCCAUGGGAUUUUCCAGGAGAGAAUGCUGGAGUGGGUUGCUGUUUCCUUCUCCACCCACAGAUACUUACUGAGUCCCUUUGCAGUGUUUGCAUCAGGAAGCUCCUGGAUAAAAUCUCCUUUGAGGUGAGCUUCAGCCCUUUAGGCCAAUGGCCCCUGGUAAUAACCAUACUCCUAUAAAUGAGAUGGAGCUUGAGAGCCCUGAUUUAUAAGCACUGUGAUGCAACUUUGUUUGAGUUAAGGUGAGGAUGGAGUGUGCAAGUUAUAAUGUGUCGUUACUAACUUAGAAAUUAGUAAUGUCAUUAGAGGGCUUCAUGGGUGGCUCAGUGGUAAAGAGUCCACCUGCCAAGGCAGGAGAUGCAGGAGAUGUGGGUUUGAUUCCUGCACAAGGAAAUGACAAUCUAUUUCAGCAUUCUUGCCUGGGGAAUCCCAUGGACAGAGGAACCUGGAUAUUUACAGUGCACGGAGUCACAGAGUUGGACAUGACUGAGCACGUACACACACAGUGUCAUUAUAAGGGAACGAUGGGUACUUGAGAGUGUGCAGCCUGGCUCAUAAAUAUCAGGGGGUCUUGGUGAGAGCCUGUCUGUGGCCAACAGGCUCUCUGGUUCUCUGCAAGAGCUGGCUGGGAUGACAGAAGUACCUAGCAUCCUGGCUGCUGCUGCUGACAUGCUCAGUCACUUCAGUCAUGUCUGACUCCUUUCAAUCUCAUGGACUGUAGCCCACCAGGCUCCUCUGUCCAUGGGAAUCUCCAGUAUUAAGACUGCACUUCCAAUGCAGGGGGACACAAGUUCAAUCCCUGGUCAAGGAAGUUUCAAGUGCCAUGCAGUGUGACCAAAAACGAACAAACAAACAAAGCAAACAAGCCAUUCCCUUAUCUAGCAUCAAGUCUGCACCACUCCCAAGAGUCAGAAAGAGGAUCUGAACCUGAUUCUGUCUUGACUCCACAGCCCCUGCCCCUGCCACCGAUAGUAAUACCCAUGUCCCAGGGUGGUUACAGAGCUUUGGUGAGUGUGGGCAGCAUGGUACCCGGCAUUUCAUAAUGCAGUCUAUGCCAUCUUCUUUCUUUCUCUGAGCAAAAAAAAAAAAAAAAAAAAUCUUAAAAGAAACUGAAAAUCUGUUGCCUUGGAGAAGUUUGAGAAGGAACCAGAAAGUGUGUGGGAAGGAAUUUGUUCAGCCUCUGCCUGGGCGGUCGCACUGGCUCUGGUGGACUCUGACUCCUGGCAUCCCCGCUGAUGGGGGCAUGGAACUGCCUCCUGCCUCCAGGUUUUGUUUCCUCCACCUAAGCCACAUGGCUCGGCCGUUACCAUGAACAGAAGGACUGGAGAGGUUGCCCUUUUCAAUGAUGAAUUCUGCCAUACUCAGCCUUAUCUUUUAGUUAUUGCGAUUUUGCUGAAAUUGAAGACGUGCAAAUCUGACAGAUUGAAUAUCAGCUCGGAGGCUGUACUUUUCAUAGUUCUUGCGGUUUGGGUGGAUUUGGGAGAGAGAAAAAAGGAGGGAGGUUCUUUGUGAAGAACACAUCAUUUUCCUGAGUAGUCAUUACAGAACAUGAUUAGACUGUAUGUAUCUAACUAUGCAGAAACGACGCCAGCAAGCAUCCCUCCUUUAUUUCUUUGAGUCAAAGAAGCACUUGAGGUUUAAUAAGCUGAAUGGAACACAGGCAAUGGGAUGAGGAAGGUGCAAAGUCACGGCCUCCGCCUUCUUCCACCUGCUCCUGGGAAGUAGUGGAGAGUCAGAUGUGUGGUGUGGAGACUCGACUUCUCCUAUGGAUAUGUCUCUUCACGACUCUGAGCUCAUUACUCCUUCAUAAAGUAAGGUUCUGCUAGUCUGUGCCUGUGAAGCAGACCCGCCUACACGGUGGAAUAAAGCAACACUCAUUUAGCACUGUUACUGCUCCUGCUUCUGGGGGUGACUGGGCUCAGCCGGGCGGUUCUCGGUCUUCAUCGCUCAGGGGGGUAUGCUCACCUGCAGGCUUCCCUGGACACAUUUGAAGUCACCCUUGUGCAUCUGGUGGGUGCAGUGGGCUAUUCGCUGGGAUCUCAGAGAGGCUGUGGGCCAGAAUAUCCACACGUGGCCUUCCUGUGGCCCUUGGGCUCCUGCAUGGCAUGGGGACUGACUGGGUUCCAAGAGUGAGUGUCCUGCAAGCCUGGAGGAAGCUACUUUGCCAUCAAGAUUGAACUUCAGAAGCCACUCAACUCCAUGUCACUCAUCCUCCUCUGUUGGACACUCAUCAAGGUGGCUGAGAGCAGCUCUUGACUGGGGGCAAGGCAACUGAGACCCACAGAGCUGAAGGAGGUGGUCAAGGUCAUAGGGCUUGGAGAAGGCAGACGGGACCUGAGCCCAGGUUUAUGUGACUCUGGGUUGUUCCCUCAGCCUUGGCUCAUGACUCAAGUCCAGGAUCCAGCCAGUGACAUUGAAUGGUGUCAAGCCUUCCUCCUCGGCCGCCUUCCAGGGUGUGGCUUCUGUUGCUGGUGUGAGUGUGUGAGAUGUGGGCUUCCCCAUCAUGUGCCAGGCUUGAUGGGGCUAAGUGGAUUUUUUUUUUUUUAGCGAUGAUGGACAUAAAUCAUUUGGUAUAGAAGAUGCCUCCCUACUGCUGGUGUCAGAGAGAGAGAGAGAGAGAGAGAGAGAGAGAGAGAGAGAGAGAGAGAGAGAGAAAGGCUGGUUGCAAGGUAGCUCCAAACAGUGAGCCCAAUAGGAACAGGAAGGGAAAGCACUCUUGGGAGAGGAGUGGGCUGAAGGCAUGUGCUGCCUCUUAGGGAUGCCUCGGGUGCAUCUUGUCCUGAAAUGCAGGCAAAGCAUCAGCAGUGAUG